GGCUUGUAACUAAUGUAGAACCGGCUUUACGGUCAACUUUAAAGCUUAAUAUUUCGGUUCGCGAAAGUAUGAUAUUUUACUGCCGGAUUCUUUCGUUUCAUGCAAAGAUACUACAAAUGAGCAUAAUUUUAUUAAAAUUGAAGCAUGCUUACACUCAUCAUCUGAAUUGCACUAGGUCAGUUCUAGUGCAAUACUUAUGCAGGAAUAGAAAAACUUUAGGCCACUGUUACGCCGAUUUACGCCAGACUGACACAAACAGAAUGCUCUGAUUACAAGUCAGGAUUACUUAGGACCACACCUGGAUUCAUCCUGCAAUGACAUCGAUGAGAUUUUUCAUGGCGAAAAAAUAUUCUGAUCGAGACCCUCCGAGCUAAAUUGAAUAACAAUGGAGAACAAUCUGGAGAUUAUCCUGCCUCAUGUCUGUAACUGUGAUAGUGUCUGAAGUAUGGCCUCAUUGCUACCAGUCAUUGCUACCAAUAGAAAUCCAGAUUCUAAUUGAUUUAAUAUAUAGAAAGAUAAAGCUAAAUCAGCCUUAUAUGAGAGUUUUCUUGAAAAAAUCUGAAAAUUAUAAAACGAACUGAAAAGAGCA